rnacentral:lncRNA from 1 species
UGAAAGUGGGCCAAAUGGCAACCAUUCUCUCUCUCUCUCUCUUUGCUCUACCAUCUCACUAGAAACCUCUUAGAACUGAAAAUCAUUUUCGGUGACCGGUGGUUUUAUCGCCGCCGGUUACCAAUCUCUUUUUGUUUUUUUUUUUGAUGUAAAAUAGUUACUCGAUCUAUAGAUCGACUUGUUUGCUUCGCUUUGGCGAAUUUACAUUUCUCUUUUCACGUUUGGUGAGCUUUUGAGGUGUUAAUCCCAAUCAAAUCGGAACUGAUCAUCACUCUUAUGUUUUUUUCCGAUGUAGAUUGAGUAUAUAUAAAUAUCCCCCCUUUCACAACUAAUAUUAAUCCCGUUUACUUUUGAGCUGGGUUCUCUCUUUCUGUGGUUAGCUCAGAUCCCUUUUCUACGGGUGUAAAGCUCACUCUUUUAAAGCUAUUCCUUAGCAUAUGAGUGAUGUAUCCCGUAUGAAAGGAAUGAUUGAAAUGUUGGUUUAUCUUGAUCGUUGUAUGAGGGAUUUAGUAUAGUUGGCAUCUUUUUUUGAUUGAAGAUAGUCCAAUAAAAAAUCUACUCUAGUUCGAUCAAGUUUUCCCUGUGGUCAAAUAACCAGAGAUUGUUGGAGUCUCAACUUGGAGCGACGGUUAUGGUGGAAGGGUAAGCUUAGAAAGUACAAUUCAUGGCAACAAUCGACGUGUUUGAACAAGAGAAAGAAAGCUCCGCCGGUGAGAAGACGUCGGAAUACAUCGGAAACAUGAAGUAUGCCGGAGAAACUGGAACUUUCAAGCAGAGCCGUGCUUACAGCCUAUUAAAAAAGGCAUUCGCCUAGGCAGGGCCCCCAAAUUUUGUAAGAGAGCACUAUUCGCCUCGGGCCACUAUAUAGAUUUAUCUCGCAACAAAAAAUGAGCGGAUAACAUAAUUAACCGUACAUUGGAUGAUUCAAAUUUUAUCAUUGCGCUAGCCGUAAUCUGAAAGCCGAUCCGGAC